GACGAACGCUGGCGGCGUGCUUAACACAUGCAAGUCGAACGGAAAGGCCUGCUUUUGUGGGGUGCUCGAGUGGCGAACGGGUGAGUAACACGUGAGUAACCUGCCCUUGACUUUGGGAUAACUUCAGGAAACUGGGGCUAAUACCGGAUAGGAGCUCCUGCUGCAUGGUGGGGGUUGGGAAGUUUCGGCGGUUGGGGAUGGCCUCGCGGCUUAUCAGCUUGUUGGUGGGGUAGUGGCUUACCAAGGCUUUGACGGGUAGCCGGCCUGAGAGGGUGACCGGCCACAUUGGGACUGAGAUACGGCCCAGACUCCUACGGGAGGCAGCAGUGGGGAAUAUUGCACAAUGGGCGGAAGCCUGAUGCAGCAACGCCGCGUGCGGGAUGACGGCCUUCGGGUUGUAAACCGCUUUCGCCUGUGACGAAGCGUGAGUGACGGUAAUGGGUAAAGAAGCACCGGCUAACUACGUGCCAGCCGCCGCCGUAAGAC
rnacentral:rRNA from 1 species